UACGUAGGGUGCAAGCGUUGUCCGGAAUUAUUGGGCGUAAAGAGCUCGUAGGCGGUCUGUUGCGUCGGCUGUGAAAACCCGGGGCUCAACUCCGGGCCUGCAGCCGAUACGGGCAGACUAGAGUGCGGUAGGGGAGAUCGGAAUUCCUGGUGUAGCGGUGAAAUGCGCAGAUAUCAGGAGGAACACCGGUGGCGAAGGCGGAUCUCUGGGCCUUGCCUGACGCUGAGGCGCGAAAGCUAGGGGAGCGAACAGG
rnacentral:rRNA from 1 species